rnacentral:lncRNA from 1 species
UGUUCAAGCCAACACCCGCUAGCUUAUGCUGAGUCUUUUUUUCCUGAAGAUACUCCUAAAGAAUACUCCAUGAUCUCAUCAGUAACACCAGCCCAUGUGACCGUAACUCUCACUCAACGGUACGUGACCUCUUUGAAACACAGUUUCAGUACUUGAGGGAUGUAUGGUUUGUAACCGGAAAACCAUUAUUCUACUUUGACACAUGUUCAUUAAAGGAUAUUCACUUCUUUUCACACAUCUUUUCCCAAGUCUCUUCCCCAUAUUAUUAUGUAUUAUCUGAUAUUUGAUAUUUGGGGGAUGCUGCCAUAAAGACGUAGUAUAGCAUAGACUUCAGAUCACAUGUUCAGGGAACCUAUCAACUGAGCUCUCUAAAGUGUUAAAGCAAAUUUGUUUUCACCUGCAAUCUUAUUUCCUGUGACCUAGGAGAAUUUGGCGCUUUGUACCUCAACAUAUUUUGGAGACAUUAGUUUCUCAGUGUGAUCUGCAAUUGUUCUCAUACUGAUUUACCAGAAAGUACAGGACAGGUUCUAGUGUCUGUACGCCCACUCUUUACUUUCUCCUUUUGCAAAAGAACCACUUAUUUGUAAAGGCAGACUUUCCUCUACCCGCUGCCAUGUGGUUUCAAUAGGUGCUGUCACUCAGAUAAACUGCUGCCCUAGCCACAUGAGUAAAACUCUGAUCUGAAUGGGCCAAUCAGACUGCUUCACUUUUCUUGCCAAAAUGAUUUGGCUUAAAGAGUUGUGUUAGGCAGAACUAUGACCUCCCAAGGACAGUCGCAUCCUGAUCCCAAGAAGCUCUGAAUGUGUUAUGUUACAUGGCAAAAGGGAAUUCAAGUGGCAGAUAGAAUUGAAGUUGUUAAUCAACUCACUUUAAAAUAGAGAGAGUACCUUGGAUUACCCAGGUGGACCCAAUGUAAUCACAAGCAUACUUAAAAAUGGAAGAGGUACACAGAAGAGAAGUUUGGAUCAAUAUGAUAUGAAAACUCAAUCUGCUGUUGUUGGCUUUGAACUUGGAGGAAGGGGGCCAUGGACACAGGAAUGCAGGUGACCUCUAGAAGCUAGAAAACCAAGGAGAUGCAUUUUCCCUUAGAGCCUCCAGAAAGGAAUAAAGUUCUACUGGCAUCUUGAUUUUGGCUCAGAGAUCGAUUUCAGACUUCCAAACUGCAGAACCAUAAGGUAAUAAAUUUGUAUUGUUAAAACCACUAAGUUUGUCAUAUUCUGAUAUAGCAGCAGUAAGACACACAUCAAAGAGUAUUCAAGGAAAACCGACCUAGACCAAAGAGAUAUGUUUCCCCAGGAAUUUUGGAGGCAUAGCUGAUAGAUAAAGUAUGAGGCAAGCUUGGAAUUGCCAGGGGAACCUCUGAGAAAGCUGGUUUGCAAGAAAAAGCUGAGAAGAGCUGAAAUGAAAAAUGAGAAAAUCCUCCAGUCAGCCCUCCCUUCUUCAUGGCUGGGGUAUGCGGGACAAUAUACUCCCCUUUCCCAUUUGCUGCUUUGAGCUGGGAUAUUUCAUCACUUGCAAUGAGAGGUCUUGAGGAACCCAGGUGCUAAGUGGCUAUGUAUGAGAGAUUCCCAUCAAACACAGGCACAGAGGGGAUGGGGCGAUAACACAGCCCAGAGCACUUCCAAGCCAAACAUCUCCUAUACAUGGUCACAUUUUUUAAAAAAUUAGAAAUAUGCAUGAUCUCCAAGCCCACUUCUCUGCAUUUUUCUUGAGUAAGUCAACUCUUGGCUUAUAAAUAAUUCACCAUCUUUGAAACUCACAUUUACAUUUGUUAAAUUAAAUAAGCAGGAGGCCAUCAGCCUGAGGCUGUCUUUGUACUUUGAGUUUCUAUGUAAGGAACUGCAACCUCACAGUAUGUAAACGAGCCAAAACCGAACUUAGGAGUCUAAUUUCUGUAAUACAAAGCAGGGUCUCAGCCAAUCACAAGCAGCCAUGUUUCAGCCAAUCACAGGCUGCCAACUGUUCAGACUGUGUCCCAAAUAGGGCAAACCCCUAGGUAUAACCAAUCAAGCUAUUUCGGUACUUUAUUUCCCUGUUCUGCCUAUAAAUACUCACUGUCCAGUUUUGCAGACCUGAGUUCUUUGAAUCUCUGGUUCUGAGUGCUAUUUGAUUCAUGAACUUUUUUUUUCUCAAAUAAACUGUUAAAUUUAAUUUGUGAAAGGUUUUAAUUCAUAUUUCAUAGUGUAGCAGAAUCACGUAGUUACUCAAAAACUAUGCGGACUUGAUAUACAUUAUUUAUGUUUGUAUUAAUUUAUUUGAUGUUUCUCAUGGGCUUUUGCUCCCUCUGUUUCAUGGAGGAGCAAGGGACAUAAACUUGAGAAUAAUCUGGUAACUUCUGUUUAACAGCAUAGUUUGAACCAUUUCCUUAGAAAGUGUGAUAUUUUUUUAAGUAAAAUGUUCAGUCUUUCAGAUACACCCUCAUUCUCCUUUCCCUUUUCUAUGUUAGCAUCUGGCAUAUUAGGGACACUUGUUUUAUCCUAAAGGCUCAAGGAGAGAUGAGGUCCCUGAGUCAUCAUAGAAUCUCUGGCCUCUCCUACCAUGUUGCUGCCCUGGGCUGCUUCCUGCAUAGGUGACAUUCAGCAUAAAGGCCACACCCCCUAGCUGCAGUCUGCAUUUGGGCUAACUUACAGUUUGCCUUAGUCAUCCUCGUCUGAAACUUCUGGUGGUCCCUAGGCAGCUUCAAGUCAUCUCUCUCAGUACAACCAGAUCCUCUAAGUCAUCAUGUUAUUCAUCUGACCCCAGGGCUGGUCUGUGCACCUGGUGGCUUCUACUUUGAAGUCACACUGGCUCCUGGUCCCAAUGGGCCCCAAGGCAGCUUGGCUGUGCCUCACUAAGUUACCUUUGUGCAGAUUUCCAGGCAUACACGGACAUUUCUCUACAUUGGGUCCACUCCAGGUGUAACUGAAGACAUCAUGAGAAAUGUAAACCAUGCCCUCCUUCUCACUCUUCUACCUCCACAAGUUCACUGUGAUGUGGUAGCCCCUGAGAUGGUGUGUGUGCAGGCCCUGAGGUCCCAAACACUGGGCUGAAUGUAAGGAACUCUGAUCUUGAUAUUCCCCUCAAUUUAUCAAAUAAGCUUAUUUCUUUUGACCAAAACCUGACAAAAGGAAGAUUAGGAUACUUGUGAUCUUCUUUCCCUCUGACCUGUCUCUUACCUUCUCUUUCUUCCCUUAAAAGGUCAGACACUUCCUUAAAUUCCUUCACGCUGUUUCCUCCUGUAACUUGAUUGUUGUCUCAGGCUAAAUUGUCACCUUGGGACGUGUGGGGAGGGGAGUAGAUUGAGACUAGUGUAACUUUCAACAAUUUUUCACUGAUUAUGCAUAUUUACAGGACAUUUUUUAUUUUAAAUUCACAGAGGAAAUUGGAUUCAAUUAUACUGUACACAAGAUUGGGAGAAGAUAGUGACCCUUCUUGUAAAUAUCCAUAAAACAUACCACUUAGCAUUGUUGUCAAUGCUCUCCCACUUUGCUAAUGCAUGACCAUAGUGCUAGUCAUGUGAUUACAAGGUAGUCACAACAGGGUAGUUAACACAUCUUACGCUUUACUAGUGUGGAUAUUUCAAGGGGUAUGCUAAUUUUUAUCUUGACUUAUAGUCCCAUAGAGUGGUCAGGAAUAUGAGAAGUUGGUUCUCCAGGGAAAACUGUUUCCCAAAUGUCAUCGGAACAUGAAGGGGAACAGAAAAUUAAUCAAGACAGUGACAUUUUUUAAGGUGGACUACACAGGGAGGAGAGAAAGAAAAUGCAUUGAUGGUUUAAGUGUGUUGGGAAGUAUACUAGAGCGUACAGAACUAAGGCUUGGAAAUUGAUGCAUCAAACACUCAAUGACAUAUUGGCGGAUAAACAAGCAAAAUGAUUGCUAAGUGACUGUCUGAUUCAUGUAUCUAUAGUGUGUAAAAAUCCAGAGAUCCUACACAUGUGUUGUUGGCAGUUUAUAGGAACAAGAACAAAAACUUAGGAGAAAAGUAAAAGCUCUAUGGUCUACCUUUGCAUGCAAACGUUGAACAGGCGUAAAAAUUGCAACAGAUUUUCUUGCUUCUAAAGUUGAUUUCCCUUCUCACCUUUUUCUAAAUUUUUUGGGAUAAUAUAUGUAACAGCAAUUUGGUUUCUGACACAACAUUUCUAUCUAUAGAUUUUCUUGUAUGUAUGUGUUGGGGGAGGGGUGUUGUUUGUUUUGUUUGUAUUUUUACAUCUGAAUAUGUUUUACUGAAGUCCUCCUGGGCUUCUGUAACCCUUCUGCAGAGUAAGUCUGCUGCCACAGCUUUCCCCCACCUGUCCUAACUGUAUACUUUAAGUGCCCUUAAUCUGCAACUUAGUUCUCAUUUGGUGAAAGUCGCACUUCACUUGAUGAUGUUGACUUUCUCAGCAAAGGGCAAUGGCAGUUACUGAAGAUGCCCUUUGCAGCAAAAUCUCAUAUAAUCAAUUCUACUAAGGCGAGCUGACACUCCAGUGUACACUGGGCAUCCGUGGAUGCUAUUCCUCCAGUUCCUUUAUGAGGUCUGCAACAUUUGGGCUGAGAUCCACCAAGCAGUUGUUUGAAGUGUGCAAUGGAGUAGGAUUCUGCAAGACAGAGACAGAAUCCCAACCCCAAACAUGGCAGAGUGAUGAAAAUACCGGAGUCCCUAGAACAUGGAUGUGGGACUGGGCCUCUACUCUGCUACCUGCCACUUCCAUAACUUUGAGGAAGUUCCUUAUGCCCUAAGCAACUCAGUGACCUCAUCUGGAAAAUGAGGAGGGAAACCUCACACUAUCACGAUUAAGUGAGUUCAUAUAUAAAUCUUAUAGAGCCCAAUAGUAACUCUGCCAUUUAUUACUUGCAUGAACUGGCAAAUGCUUCUUUGAGCCUCAGUUAGGGUUGCCAGAUUUAGCAAAUAAAAAUCCCACAUGUCCAGCUAAAACAACAAACAAUUUUUGGUAUGAAAAAUGUCUCAUGUAAAUUGGAAUAUACUGUACUCCAAAAAGUAUUUGUCAUUUAUUUGAAAUUCAAAUUUAAAUGGUCUUCCUGGAUUUUAUCUGUGAACCCAUGUAUUAAUUCUCUUGUCUAAUAAAUGAGUAUAUUCAUGCUUACCCUAGUUAACUUAAGAGGUGAUUAUGAGGAUGACAUUAAAAUAUAAAAUAUAUAUAUAUUUUUAUGUCAUCGUCAUAAUAUGUAAAAGCUUUGUAAAAUGUAACAUGUGAUUCAGACAUGAGGGAAUGCUCAAAUUAUUAGUGUAGAUAUUAUGGUCAUCAUGAGUUCACAAAUAGGUUGAGGAAUGUACAGUGAAAUUCAAUGAGAGGAGAUAUUGUAAGUUAUAGACCAGUUAACCUGUUCACCUCUUCUGAGGAGCCAGGCACCUCUGGGUUACUUGCAACUGACUGCUUAUUCUCAUUAAUAUGCAUGUGUAGAUUUCACUGGAAAGUACUUUUUGUACUUGGAGAGAGGAGGAAAGAGGAGGAGUAUGAGGAAGAUUGUGAAGGGGACUGCCAACCCUUAUACAGGGAGGGUUAUUUCCUUUUUAAUUAAAUUUCUAGACAUGCAAUUUGCCUUUUCCGAUAUAUUAGGUUUUUCAUCAGUUUUUUUCUCAUAUAGUGGCAAAUCACGAAUGGCUCAUUACAGGAACAAUCAUAGGAGGGACCACUUCGGGGCCCACUCAUACCAAGCCUGCAUUUUAAGCAUAAAUACACCUUCAACAGAGAAUUGCAAGUGAAAAGUCAAGGUGCUAAAAAAAGACCCAAGGGGAUUUUUAACUCUCACACUUCAGGUGCAUUCAGGAAAGAGAAACACCCAAAUUCUUUCAUUUUCAAAGAAAAUAACAUAAGAUAUUUCUAUAUCUUCUCAUAGCUCAGAACUAGAUCCCACAACAAAUGGGUUCCUGCAUAACUCAAUUUCUCAGGAUAUAAUAAAUAAGAAGAAAAUGUGACUUGUGCCUCUCCAAUGCCCAAUUUAUUAUUCUGUCCUUUUCUUAACAUACAUAACCCAGGCCGGGGUCACACCUGUAAUCCCAGCACUUUGGGAGGCCGAGGCGGGCAGAUCACCUGAAGUUGGGAGUUCCAGACCAGCCUGACCAAUAUGGUGAAACCCCGUCUCUACUAAAAAUACAAAAAUUAGCCAGACAUCGUGGCGUGUGCCUGUAAUCCCAGCUACUCAGGAGGCUGAAGCUGGAGAAUCACUUGAACAUGGGAGGCAGAGGUUGCAGUGAGCCGAGAUUGUGCCACUGCACUCCAGCCUGGGUGACAGAGGGAGACCCUGCCUCAAAUAAUAAUAAUAAUGAUAAUAAUAAUAACCCAUUGUGUCAAAAACACAAUCACUUCAGUGAGUUGGUAAGAUGCAAUUAAAGGAAGCUUCAGUGGUAUAAAUGAAUUUUUAUUUUGAAACGAAUUCUGCCAGCUUCACAUACACACCACCUCAGAGAUGGGCAAUACAUAGAGCCAAUAGCUAAAGCCACCAACUUGGCAAUUUCCUCCAGCAUAUAGAGAAAUAAAUCUCUAGGGCUUCCUUGGCCUUUGACUUUGGAAUACAAGAGCCUUGGAUGAAGAGAAAGGUAUGUUGAGCACCGGCUCCUGUGCAUACAGAUUCGGAGCUAGUCCCACCUCUGAAUGAAAAUGGUGACUUCCCCACUCUGGACUCUGACUCUCAGCUGGCAGGCACAACAGACAGGAUAAGGCUUUCUGUGUAUCCACACUCUGGGCCAUCGUGUUUUAUGGACACAAAUUGAAGAUAAGAUCUAGUGAUGGAGUCUCCAGCUACAGCUUGAAACCAGCCCAUCAAUGUCAGGUUCCGUUAAAUACCUGAUGCCGCCACUUUGCGGCAGUUCUGGUGGAUAAAGGUUCUGUCAGGGUCAGUGUUUCAAGUGAGGUUCAGACUCUCAUUUGCCAUAAAUGAAGAGGAUGGGAAGUGAGCUGGGAGAUUGUCAGACUAAUAUUUAGAUAAUUGCAAUUUAUCUCUUCUUAAGGAUCAAGCUCAUUGAACCCGAGCCGAGUUGGAGCUAAACUGUGUUUAUAAGGUCUCCUUCCUCAAAGCUAGCAGUCUGAAGAAAGUGGAAAAGCCAGAGCUGGGAUUUCCGGCUGACCUUGGAACCCGGAAUGACCAAUCCCAAUAGCAAUAAUAUAAUAGCAAGAAUAAACAAUCAUGAAUAUUGCAAAUGCUGUCUCUCCGGUGCUGAGAAAAAUUAAUUUCCUAUUUGAAUCCCAUUCACAUAAAUACUCAUAAUGAUGUAUUUAAAUCCAGACUCUGUUAAAUCCUAAGCCCACAGUACCUGAGCCAACAGCAUGAGUCUCGCAUUUAAUCGGUUACUGUAAUAAACAUAUAAAAUGUUUUUUUUCAUGAGAGGACAGAGCAGUGGCUACAUAAAAGGACAUCAAAUGACACAUCCUCCAUCUCCCAGCAAAUAAAAAAGCCAUCAGCUCAUAACAAGGCGGUGAUAAAAGGUGCUGAGGCCAGUAAGAUUAAGACUUUGUAAUAAGGUCCGGGCGCCAAAACUGACAGCCAUUUUCUUUUAUAUUUAUCAUGUCCUCACACUGGGGUGAGAAGCCAUGGCUCGGUCCCAUUGCUGGCUAGAAUUUAUAGCAGCUCCAUUAUUAGGAGAUUGCAGUGAAAUGGGGUAGAGGUAUGGUUUUCUGAGAACGUUACGAUAGUCUCCUACAUUAUACACUUGACAGGUUUGUCAGCUCUUAGUAACAAGCCUUGUAAAGUACUUUAAUAUCAUUAGCACUAUUUUCUUAAUGUGUCUGCUCUCCUCGAAGCUUGAAAAUAUCAUAUAUCAUAGGCUGGAGGGUAGCAUGAACUGCUAUCUCCUUGUUUCUGGUUUCUUAAAUGUGACUUUAUAGUAACACGUAGAGUUGAUGUUUUAAUCAAAAUAAUGCAGCCAUUUUCCUUUAUUGAUUAUCAAGUAAAUAUGUAUAAAUACGUAGUUAGGGGUGGGCUACCCUUUUAGAGGAUAUUGGAAACACAUAAUGAAUGGCUUUCUGUGGGUAAUUUCACUGCCUGCUUACUUCAGUUAUUUGUUAUGUACCAAGAGUUUUUCCAUUCUGCCCUCCUUCCCCAAAGAUCUGUGGAGGCCACCUGCAGGAGAGAGGAGCCCAGUCAGAACCAAAACUCUGCAAGAACUUUCCAGACAGGCAAGGCCUAAAUCAGACGCCUUUGAAAUUUCUGCACAUACAUGUCUCCCUUUUUUGUAAACUAGCCUAAAUUACAAUCUGUUCUGUAGUUCAUGGUGCAUUUCAAAAGGACCCACAUUUAUUUUGGGUAAAUCCUGAAAGGCUUUUUCUUGCUUUCAGUGAUGAGCAUAUUGACUUAAGAAUGUCUAUCUACAUUGCUAAUGUAAACCCAGAGACAGAAAUCCUGUGAGUUGACUCAAUAGUUUGAGUUGUAUAAGUGUUUUAAAUUUCAAAAAUAAACAUGUAUUGCUUUGUGAGGGUAAUAAAAUGAUAAACUUGAUUUAUAUCUCAUUCUAAGCAGGACAUCCAUCUUAAUAACAUUGUAAUAUUCUCAUAUGUGACCUUGAUCAUAAACAUUUAACUAUUGUCAACAAUAGCAUUAUCUAUACCAAAAAUAAGAAUGGGCACACACACACACACACACACACACAGAGACAAUCAAAGGGAAAUUUAUUAUCAGUAAAACCUCAAAUAGUUUUAUAAUUGAAAACAUUAGAGUCUGCAAAAUUUAGUUCAUUGAGCUCAGACCAAAACACCAAUCUUACUAGGCAGUGGUAUCAAUAUUACUGUACAUUGCCCCAAAUGUGUGCUCAACUAGUUACUGAAUGUAUGCCCUAUCUCCUGCACCCUUUAUCUCAAAUGAGAAAUCAAGAGGUCUAUGGAGUGAUUUCCUUUUGGUCAAAAUCACUGCAUCUAGCUCAGGACCUAGCACAUAGUAGGUAAUCAAUAAAUAUUGCUUGGAAGGUUGAACAGAUGAAUUCAUUAUUUCUCCCAACUUACAUGGAGAUUUAUGUUUCCAUUGGCCCAUGGCCAUCAAAAUAGGUUACUUGCUGAGAAAUAAACAUGCACCAGAUGGGAGGAGCUAUGCCAUCUUGAUCUCAGAUUAAUCCAGUCUCUGCCUUUCUUUAUUAACUUACAUAUAUGCUUCUGCAUUGAGAGCAAGACCACAUGCAGAUAAUCUCAAGGCACUACAUAUUGGCAAAUAGAUACCGCUAGGCAAUCCAAAAUGUUUGUUAGCAAAUUAUUCUAAUGAACUUAAAAUACUUAUCAUUAACCAUUUAAAAAUAUCAUUUUGGGAAUAGGAAGGGAAAAACAACCCAAGAAGAAUUUAAAUCUUUAUCUCUACUUCUGCAUAUAAUCUUUAAAUUCUUUGGUUAUGGAAAUAUUCAAAAUAUAUUUCACAAAGUGGAAAUAUUAGGCUAAAUAUUGUCAGUGUAAUAGUUUUGUUGCAGUUUGUUUAAACAGACAUGUAAAUUCUAUAUUCCUAUUGCAUUUGCCUAAUUUAAGUGAAAAGAACAUUGGACUCACUCUCUACCUACCUGAAUAAGAAGACAGGGCAGGGUCAAACCUAUAUUUGUCUAUUUUUAUAGUCAAUACAAUAAUCGCCUGGGAUGGGUUAAUUAUCUAGUAACUAAGGCUGACUUUUCUUAGAAUAGAAAUGAUUAAAUUGUGUCUUUUUCAGUGGGGUCUGGUCGUCACAUGAGGACCUAACUUAACCUUUUUUGACUAUUUUAUGCCUCUUCAUCUGAAGGAAAACCAUUAAUUUGAUGUGCUGAGAAACUGUCCUGUGAACGUGUUCCUGUUCACACAGUCUACUUAACAUGAAUAGGUUUUUAAUAUCUGCCGAUUUGGAACUGUUGCCCAUCAGUCCCAUGGCUGCUCAUAAAAUCAGUUAGUCUAUUUAUUGCUAGAAAUCACUAAGAAUUAGACUUACUUAAGCCUGUAAAUUUAUCAAGUUUAUCACAUUUGGUACUGAGAAGAUCUAUUUUGAUUAAGUCUUUAUGUGUAAAAUCAGAUUAGUAAAAAUUUUUGAGAGUUUCUGCACAAUUAUUUUUCUAAACAGGCCCGUACUUUCUCUAUAUUGUUGUAUUGACAUGUUUAUUUUAUAUAUCUGUGUAUACACACACAUAUAACUUGUGUGUGUGUGUAUGUAUAAAUAUCUAUACAUACAUAUAUAGAUGUAUAUGUACAUAUCUAUAUAUACACACAUAUAUAACUUGUGUGUGUAUAUGUAGAUAUAUUUCCAUAGCUAUAUACACACACAUAAGUUAUGUAUGUGUAUAUAUAGAUGUGUACAUAUACAUCGAUAUAUACAUAUCUACAUAUACACACAUUAUAUAUGUGUGUGUAUAUACCUACAUGUACACACACAAGUUAUAUGUGUGUGUAUCUAUAUAUAGAUAUAAUUUUCUGUAUAUUUUGAUGUUUUGACAACUUUAAAAACCUUUUUGAGGCCAGGCAUGGUGGCUCAUGCCUGUAAUCCCAGCACUUUUGGAAACUGAGGCAGGAGGCUCACUUGAGGCCAUGAGUUCUAGACCAGUUUGGGCAACAGAGUGAGACCCUGUCUCUACAAAAAAUACAAAAAUUAGCCAGGCUCAUGAGGUGGCAUGUACCUGUAGUUUGAGCUGCUUGGGAGGCUGAGAUGGGAGGAUCGCUUGAGCCCAAAAGUUUGAUAUUGCAGUGAGCCUUGACUGCACCACUGCACUCCAGCCUGAGUGACAGAACGAAGACCCUGUCUCUAAUAAAACCAAAACCAAAAACAAAAACCUUUGUGUCUGGGGAGAGACUGCCCCUCCAGGGGCUAGCCAAUUCUUAGAACUCUGACAAGAGCAUGUCUUUGAUAUGCACACUAGCCAAUCCAGAGCCAUAUCUCCUCUUCUGGCCCUUAUACUCCAGGAGGCAACAUUCCUCUGCCUUAACCAUUCCAGGGACAGGUACCAAACAGCUACAGACCACCCCUAUAGUUUAGAGUUUCCUAAGUUAUUCAAACUAACCCAUCCUAAAUCAUUCACCCUGCCUUCCACUGCCUCUCCCACAGAAACCCCAACAAAGCCUCUGGCCCAAGCCUUCCACUGGUUCCUGUCUUCUGCCUCCUGACCUCCACGUCUUCCCCUUAUAGCCCUGUGUGACAUGCUGUGCCUCCUGUCGCUAGGACCUGAGAGUUUAACACACUUUGUUUUUCUGAACCUCUCCUCUGUCUUUUCUCGUGGCAGAUCUGACUGACCAUCACAUUAAAAAAAAACCACAAAACAACAUUCAAAGACAGUAUUACAACAUUCAGAGUUAGAAGGAAAAUUCAACAUCAUGUAGUUGGUCUUCCUUAAUCACUCCAACAGGAAACAGCAAAUCAAAACUUCACUGUUUGGGCCUUCCUUCCUUGACUUACCUCCUGGGCAAGGGUUGUUACAGUUCUUCUUCCCCAAACCCAAAUGAGACACAUGGGGAGAAAAGAUGGGCUCUCAAUCAGGCCUCUGUAGGUCUCAUGAUCUAAUUUACUUCUCCACUUCCACUUUUGAGAUUCAAGAAACUGCAGGACAUUUUCAAUUGCUGAGAUUUUUCCAGACAAACUCCUGGCCAAGCAUCUUGACUCUGUGUUUAGUGCUCCACCAAAAAUAUGAAUAUUGAGUUAAUUAACUGAGGACAUUUUAAUUAAAUGCCUUAUUUAUAAGACUUGAAGACAACUGAUUUUAAAAUCAAAAUGUCACCUUGAUGAUUUAAACACCUCGAUGAUGUUUUUAGGUUGACUUGUUUUUUCAAUGAAUAUGCCCAUUAUUUUGACUUGGUGAGGUUGCAGGACAAUGGGAGCUCAUUCUGCUGCAAAAUGGAGAAUGAACUGAUAUAACCAUGUUGGACAACAGUUUGAGAUUAUCUAACAGUUUGGAAAUGUAUGCAUCUUCCGACAUAGUAAUUUGAGCUGUAGAUGUAUACUUGCAGAAAUUCUUAUACAGGUGCCCAGGACUAUUAAAAAUAGUCCACUGAGCCAGAUGUGGUGGUGCACGCCUGUAUUCCCAGCUACUUGAGAGGCAGAGGUGGAAGAAUCACAUGAGUCCAGGAGUCUGAAUCCAAUCUGGGCAACAUAGUGAGAGCUCAUCUCUUAAAUAAAUAAAAAUAAAAAUAGUCCACAACUGAAAACUGCCCAAAUGAUUAUCAAUGGAAGAAUAAAAAAAUAAACUGUGGAAUGCUCAUUCAAUGGGGAGUAUGCAUUGGAGAAAAAGAACUGAUAACUAUGUGUAUGAAAUAAGUGAAUCUCAAAAACUUACUGCUGUUGAGCAAAAGCAGAAGACAUAGAAAGAGGUAUUAAUAUGAUUCCAUUUAAAUCAGACUUAAAAGCUAGCAAAUCUAAAUUCUGGUCUGAUGAGAGAUCUAUAUGAAGAUAAAAAACUUCAAAGAGAAGGAAGAGAAUUGUUAACAGG